rnacentral:rRNA from 1 species
UACGGAGGGUGCAAGCGUUAAUCGGAAUUACUGGGCGUAAAGCGUGCGCAGGCGGUCUUUUAAGUCAGAUGUGAAAUCCCCGGGCUUAACCUGGGAACUGCGUUUGAAACUGGAAGGCUAGAGUGUGGCAGAGGGGGGUGGAAUUCCACGUGUAGCAGUGAAAUGCGUAGAUAUGUGGAGGAACACCGAUGGCGAAGGCAGCCCCCUGGGCUAACACUGACGCUCAUGCACGAAAGCGUGGGGAGCAAACAGG